rnacentral:rRNA from 1 species
AUNACUUAUNCNGNGUCUCUNUAUCNCUUAUUGUUUAUUUGAUAUCGCCUUACNACUUGGAUAACCCGUNAAUUCUCUAGCUAAUACAUGCGCAANGCCCCCGACNGGGGUGCAUUUAUUAUUCAAACCAUCGGCGUCCCGNGAACGGAUGCCUUUGAUGGUGAAUCAUAAUAACUUAAAUCGAAUGGCUUUUAUGCUGCCGAUGCUAUUUCAAAUUUCUGCCCUAUCAGCUUUCGAUGGGAGGAUCUUGGCCAACCAUGGGUACAACGGGAAANGGGGAAAAUAUAUUUGUUAUUAUAAUCUNGGNAUAAAAAUAGCAAAUAUAAGUCGGCGACGAUUCAUUCGAAUUUCUGCCCCAUCAACUCUCGAUGGUAGGAUAGAGGCCUACCAUGGUCGCAACGGGUAACGGGGAAUA